rnacentral:rRNA from 1 species
UACGAAGGGGGCUAGCGUUGCUCGGAAUCACUGGGCGUAAAGCGCACGUAGGCGGCUUCUAAGUCAGGGGUGAAAUCCUGGAGCUCAACUCCAGAACUGCCUUUGAUACUGGAGAGCUUGAGUCCGGGAGAGGUGAGUGGGAACUCCGAGUGUAGAGGUGAAAUUCGUAGAGUAUUCGGAAGAACACCAGUGGCGAAGGCGGCUCACUGGCCCGGUACUGACGCUGAGGUGCGAAAGCGUGGGGAGCAACAGGG